rnacentral:rRNA from 1 species
GAGUUUUAUCAUGGCUCAGAGUGAACGCUGGCGGCGUGCCUAAUACAUGCAAGUCGAACGGAGAUUUAAGUAGCUUGCUAUUUAAUCUUAGUGGCGCACGGGUGAGUAAUAUAUAGCUAAUCUGCCCUACACUAGAGGACAACAGUUGGAAACGACUGCUAAUACUCUAUACUCCUUCUUUACAUAAGUUAAGUCGGGAAAGUUUUUCGGUGUAGGAUGAGGCUAUAUCGUAUCAGCUAGUUGGUAGGGUAACGGCCUACCAAGGCUAUGACGCGUAACUGGUCUGAGAGGAUGAUCAGUCACACUGGAACUGAGACACGGUCCAGACUCCUACGGGAGGCAGCAGUAGGGAAUAUUGCUCAAUGGGGGAAACCCUGAAGCAGCAACGCCGCGUGGAGGAUGACACUUUUCGGGGCGUAAACUCCUUUUCUUGGGAAAGAAUUAUGACGGUACCCAAGGAAUAAGCACCGGCUAACUCCGUGCCAGCAGCCGCGGUAAUACGGAGGGUGCAAGCGUUACUCGGAAUCACUGGGCGUAAAGGACGCGUAGGCGGAUUAUCAAGUCUCUUGUGAAAUCUAACGGCUUAACCGUUAAACUGCUUGGGAAACUGAUAAUCUAGAGUAAGGGAGAGGCAGAUGGAAUUCUUGGUGUAGGGGUAAAAUCCGUAGAGAUCAAGAAGAAUACCCAUUGCGAAAGCGAUCUGCUGGAACUUAACUGACGCUAAUGCGUGAAAGCGUGGGGAGCAAACAGGAUUAGAUACCCUGGUAGUCCACGCCCUAAACGAUGUAUACUAGUUGUUGCUUCACUAGUCGAGGCAGUAAUGCACCUAACGGAUUAAGUAUACCGCCUGGGGAGUACGGUCGCAAGAUUAAAACUCAAAGGAAUAGACGGGGACCCGCACAAGCGGUGGAGCAUGUGGUUUAAUUCGAAGAUACGCGAAGAACCUUACCCGGACUUGAUAUCUAACAAAUCAUCCAGAGAUGGAAGAGUGUCUGCUUGCAGAAAUGUUAAGACAGGUGCUGCACGGCUGUCGUCAGCUCGUGUCGUGAGAUGUUGGGUUAAGUCGCGCAACGAGCGCAACCCACGUCAUUAGUUGCUAACGGUUCGGCCGAGCACUCUAAUGAGACUGCCUUCGUAAGGAGGAGGAAGGUGUGGACGACGUCAAGUCAUCAUGGCCCUUAUGUCCGGGGCGACACACGUGCUACAAUGGCGUAUACAAUAAGACGCAAUAUCGCGAGAUGGAGCAAAUCUAUAAAAUACGUCCCAGUUCGGAUUGGAGUCUGCAACUCGACUCCAUGAAGCCGGAAUCGCUAGUAAUCGUAGAUCAGCCAUGCUACGGUGAAUACGUUCCCGGGUCUUGUACACACCGCCCGUC